UUCCGACUGACGAAUCCCGGAUAGAACGAAACGCGCGUCGUGGAU
rnacentral:hammerhead_ribozyme from 1 species